UCCGAGUUGUCCCCGGCAGUCCUCUUAGAGUCCCCGACAUAACUCGCUGGCAACUAAGAGCAGGGGUUGCGCUCGUUGCGGCACUUAAGCCAACACCUCACGGCACGAGCUGACGACAGCCAUGCAGCACCUGUGCUAGCCCCUUACGGACACGGGCUUUCACCCGCUUUAACUAGCAUGUCAAACCCAGGUAAGGUGGGGAUGACGUCUCCUCAUGCGUU
rnacentral:misc_RNA from 1 species